ensembl:rRNA 5S_rRNA 5S ribosomal RNA
GUCUUUGGCCAUCCCACCAUGGACUGCCUGUCUCACCCAACCUGCCCUUUGGAAGCUAAGCAGGAUUGGGUGGGUAGUACUUGGAUGGGAGACCACCUGUAAAUACCAGGUGCUAUAGGCU